UACUCGAGUGGCGAACGGGUGAGUAACACGUGGGUGAUCUGCCCUGCACUUAGGGAUAAGCCUGGGAAACUGGGUCUAAUACCGGAUAGGACGAUGGUUUGGAUGCCAUUGUGGAAAGUUUUUCGGUGUGGGAUGAGCUCGCGGCCUAUCAGCUUGUUGGUGGGGUAAUGGCCUACCAAGGCGUCGACGGGUAGCCGGCCUGAGAGGGUGUACGGCCACAUUGGGACUGAGAUACGGCCCAG
rnacentral:rRNA from 1 species